rnacentral:rRNA from 1 species
UACGUAGGUGGCAAGCGUUGUCCGGAUUUACUGGGCGUAAAGAGCGCGCAGGCGGUCGUGCAAGUCGCGUGUGAAAGCCCCCGGCUCAACUGGGGAGGGUCACGCGAUACUGUUCGACUCGAAGGCAGGAGAGGGAAGCGGAAUUCCCGGUGUAGUGGUGAAAUGCGCAGAUAUCGGGAGGAACACCAGUGGCGAAGGCGGCUUCCUGGCCUGUUCUUGACGCUGAGGCGCGAAAGCUAGGGUAGCAAACGGG